GACGAACGCUGGCGGCGUGCUUAACACAUGCAAGUCGAACGGUGAAGCGCCUUCCUUUUGGUGGGUGUGGAUGAGUGGCGAACGGGUGAGUAACACGUGAGUAACCUGCCCCCUCCUUCUGGAUAACCGCAUGAAAGUGUGGCUAAUACGGGAUAUUCUGGGUCUGUCGCAUGAUGGGUCUGGGAAAGAUAUUGUUUCGGUGGGGGAUGGGCUCGCGGCCUAUCAGCUUGUUGGUGGGGUGAUGGCCUACCAAGGCGGUGACGGGUAGCCGGCCUGAGAGGGUGGACGGUCACACUGGGACUGAGACACGGCCCAGACUCCUACGGGAGGCAGCAGUGGGGAAUAUUGCACAAUGGGCGCAAGCCUGAUGCAGCGACGCCGCGUGAGGGAUGGAGGCCUUCGGGUUGUGAACCUCUUUCGCCAGUGAAGCAGGCCUGCCUCGUUUGUGGGUGGGUUGACGGUAGCUGGAUAAGAAGCGCCGGCUAACUACGUG
rnacentral:rRNA from 1 species